rnacentral:rRNA from 1 species
GACGUAGGGCGCGAGCGUUGUCCGGAUUUAUUGGGCGUAAAGAGCUCGUAGGCGGCUUGUCGCGUCGACCGUGAAAACUUGGGGCUCAACCCCAAGCCUGCGGUCGAUACGGGCAGGCUAGAGUUCGGUAGGGGAGACUGGAAUUCCUGGUGUAGAGGUGAAAUUCGUAGAUAUCGGGAGGAACACCGGUGGCGAAGGCGGCGACCUGGGUAGAUACUGACGCUGAGGUGCGAAAGCGUGGGGAGCAAACAGG